rnacentral:tRNA from 1 species
GAGGGUCUAGCUCAGUGGUAGAGUGCAUGCUUAGCACGCUUGAGGUCCUGGGAUCAAUCCCCAGCACCUCCA